rnacentral:lncRNA from 1 species
GAUGAUUUUAUUCUCAUAUUUAAUUGUAUUUUGCAUUGAUUUGGAUAUUUAUUUAAUAGAUUUUAAUGUUUUAUUGUAGAGUGCAAGGAAUUCCUAAAGUUGGAAGGAUUUGAAGAAAUAAAGCUCAAUUGGACUCAAAUUUGGAUGGAAAUUCAGAUUUAUUGGGCUACACGUAUUAUUUCGCUGUUUGGGCCAUAUCGGGAGUUCCGUACAUCAGAUUUUGACGAUCUUACAGCCCACGCGAAGCUUAGAGAAUUUUCUUUAAUUCAGAGAUGGUCCAAUAUCCAAAAUCCAACUGGAAAAGCCCAGAAACUGUGGAGAAAGCAGACCUGCGAAUUUUAAUAACGGACUCCUAUUCGGUUUCGGAGAUUGCCUU